GCGUCCCCCACAGGCCGCCCCGCUCCCCGGGCCCGCCGCCGGGGCGCUCCCGGACAGGAGAGCGGCCCGGAAACCGAGCCAAAUGACCGGAUUUGUUUUUUUUCUUUUCGCGUUUCGCCGAUGGCGAGACGGGGACGGUGCCUCGGGGGGGUUGGGGGGGUCACAGAGCUCUCCUCGGCUGCUUGUGCAGACAGACAGACAGAGACUUCCUCUACCGCCGCAGGAGCGCAUGCAGGAGAUAUUGAGAAUGAGGAGAAGACAGGACAUUACCUAGUAGGAUGAAGAGGCUAUGCAAACAAACAUGGAGUAAUCCAGUGCCAUGCAGCUAUGAUGGAAGGAUGUCCUGGUCACUGUGGAGCAGUAGCAGCUUUACCUGGGGCCUGUCUCAUUGGAUGCAUACCAGACUGUCCUUCAGGAUAUAGUCCAGCGAGUAGGAGUAGAAAUGUGUUUUAACUUGGCAUAAUUGCAAUGAACAUAAAGGGAGAAAUCAGAGCUACUUCAUCAGUGCCAUUUUCAUGCUGUGGUUGGUCUCAGGAAAAGGAUUGCAUUGAUGAAUUAGUGCAAUAACCCUCCCAGCCAUGGAAGAAUACAUCUUACAAGAAAAUUCAUAGGUGACUAAUAGACUACAUUGGUCAUCCCUCACCCACAGUGGUAAGCAGACUUUUGAGAUGUGGGAGAAACGUUUUGGUAUACCUGGAAAUCAGUCGAGAUUAAAAUUAAAUUAAGCAUCUAAAUACAGAAUUUGGAAUUUAACAUGCUGUGCCUUGUGAACAAAAACAAAAAAGAAAAAUUAAUUUCCACUGUGGAUAUUUUAGUCUUGAAUCAUGCUUUUCUACCACAUUUCAGCAAUGUCCCGU